rnacentral:rRNA from 1 species
UGGGGAAUAUUGGACAAUGGGCGGAAGCCUGAUCCAGCCAUGCCGCGUGUGUGAAGAAGGCCUUUUGGUUGUAAAGCACUUUAAGCGAGGAGGAGGCUACUUGGAUUAAUACUCUAGGAUAGUGGACGUUACUCGCAGAAUAAGCACCGGCUAACUCUGUGCCAGCAGCCGCGGUAAUACAGAGGGUGCGAGCGUUAAUCGGAUUUACCGGGCGUAAAGCGUGCGUAGGCGGCUUCUUAAGUCGGAUGUGAAAUCCCUGAGCUUAUCUUAGGAAUGGCAUUCGAUACUGGGAAGCUAGAGUAUGGGAGAGGAUGGUAGUAUUCCAGGUGUAGCGGUGAAAUGCGUAGAGGUCUGGAGGAAUACCGAUGGCGAAGGCAGCCAUCUGGCCUAAUACUGACGCUGAGGUACGAAAGCAUGGGGAGCAAACAGG